AUUGAACGCUGGCGGCAGGCCUAACACAUGCAAGUCGAGUGGCAGCGGGAAGUAGCUUGCUACUUUUGCCGGCGAGUGGCGGACGGGUGAGUAAUGCCUGGGGAUCUGCCCAGUCGAGGGGGAUAACAGUUGGAAACGACUGCUAAUACCGCAUACGCCCUACGGGGGAAAGCAGGGGACCUUCGGGCCUUGCGCGAUUGGAUGAACCCAGGUGGGAUUAGCUAGUUGGUGAGGUAAUGGCUCACCAAGGCGACGAUCCCUAGCUGGUCUGAGAGGAUGAUCAGCCACACUGGAACUGAGACACGGUCCAGACUCCUACGGGAGGCAGCAGUGGGGAAUAUUGCACAAUGGGGGAAACCCUGAUGCAGCCAUGCCGCGUGUGUGAAGAAGGCCUUCGGGUUGUAAAGCACUUUCAGCGAGGAGGAAAGGUUGGUAGCGAAUAACUGCCAGCUGUGACGUUACUCGCAGAAGAAGCACCGGCUAACUCCGUG
rnacentral:rRNA from 1 species